CCUCCAGUUCUUGGCAGGCCCGGGCGGUCCCGUGCCCGGCCCUGUGAUGUUCGGAGGCAGAGCAGCGCCCGGCGCGAAGUCUUCGGUGCCUGCGGCCUCCUCCGCCGGUCCUACCCUCACGUGCCGGGACAGGG
ensembl:snoRNA